ACGCACGCUGGCGGCCUGCCUAACACAUGCAAGUCGAACGAGACCUUCGGGUCUAGUGGCGCACGGGUGCGUAACGCGUGGGAACCUGCCCUUAGGUUCGGAAUAACUCCCCGAAAGGGGUGCUAAUACCGGAUAAUGUCUUCGGACCAAAGAUUUAUCGCCUUUGGAUGGGCCCGCGUUGGAUCAGCUAGUUGGUAGGGUAAAAGCCUACCAAGGCGACGAUCCAUAGCUGGUCUGAGAGGAUGAUCAGCCACACUGGGACUGAGACACGGCCCAGACUCCUACGGGAGGCAGCAGUGGGGAAUAUUGGACAAUGGGCGAAAGCCUGAUCCAGCAAUGCCGCGUGAGUGAUGAAGGCCUUAGGGUUGUAAAGCUCUUUUACCCGGGAUGAUAAUGACAGUACCGGGAGAAUAAGCUCCGGCUAACUCCGUG
rnacentral:rRNA from 1 species